rnacentral:rRNA from 1 species
GACAACCCCUUCACAGAAGAAGAAGUGUGGGCGGCAAUCUGUGCGUCUCCGGCCGAGAAGGCGCCGGGACCCUACGACUUAAACGGGGCUUUCUUUCACGCAUGCUGGCAAACGAUGAAGGUGGACAUCAUGGUAGUCUUCCAUGCAUUCUAUCGGCUCGCCGGAGGCGACUUUGUGGCCCUGAACCAUGCUAUGAUCAUCCUACUGCCAAAGAAAGAUGGCGCAACCAAAUUGUCUGACUUCCGGCCAAUUAGUCUAAUCCAUUAG